UCCUCUAUGCCUCACUUGGUAGAGCAUGGCACUUGCAAUGCCAGGGUUGUGGGUUUGAUUCCCAUGGAGGAC
rnacentral:tRNA from 1 species